rnacentral:RNase_P_RNA from 1 species
CGAGUAAGCCAGACAGUCGCGGGGACAAGGCGAAAGCCUGUUCAUGAGGAAAGUCCGGGCUCCACAGGGCAAGGAUAACGGGUAACGCCCGCCGAAGGCGACUUCAGGAAAAGUGCAACAGAGAUAUACCGCCCCUUUGGGGGUAAGGGUGGAAAGGCGAGGUAAGAGCUCACCCAUCGGCUCGAGAGUGUCCGAUGCUGUAAACUCUAUCCGGAGCAACACCGGUAUGGGAGCAAUAGGGCGGCCCGUCCGCUCCCGGGGUGGCUGAAGCGCACCGGCAACGGCGCGCUUAGAUAGAUGACUGUCAAAUACAGAACCCGGCUUACAGACUUGCUCGCGCA